rnacentral:rRNA from 1 species
AUACAGAGGUCCCGAGCGUUGUUCGGAUUUACUGGGCGUAAAGGGCGCGUAGGCGGCGAGGCGUGUCGGAUGUGAAAUCUCCGGGCUCAACUCGGAAAGUGCGUCCGAAACUGCCCCGCUGGAGUCCGGGAGAGGUGGCCGGAAUGCAGGGUGUAGCGGUGAAAUGCGUUGAUAUCCUGCAGAACACCGGAGGCGAAGGCGGGCCACUGGAACGGUACUGACGCUGAGGCGCGAAAGUCGGGGGAGCAAACAGGAUUAGAUACCCUGGUAGUCCCGACCCUAAACGGUGCGCACUCGGGGUGGGGGGAUUCAACACCCUCCGUCCCCAAGCAAACGCGUUAAGUGCGCCGCCUGGGGAGUACGGCCGCAAGGCUAAAACUCAAAUGAAUUGACGGGG